rnacentral:rRNA from 1 species
CUUAACACAUGCAAGUCGAACGGGAAGGUCCCUUCGGGAACCGGCGAGUGGCGCACGGGUGAGUAACGCGUGGGGAUCUGCCUCGAAGUGGGGAAUAACCGCUGGAAACGGCGGCUAAUACCGCAUACGCCCUCAGGGGGAAAGCUUUAUGCGCUUCGAGAUGAACCCGCGUCGGAUUAGCUAGUUGGUGAGGUAAAGGCUCACCAAGGCGACGAUCCGUAGCUGGUCUGAGAGGAUGAUCAGCCACACUGGGACUGAGACACGGCCCAGGCUCC